GCCAUUGAUACAGAACUAAGGUUACUUUCUAAACAUUAGUUCAUUAAGGGCCAACCUAAUGAAACCAGAUAUGAUCUCUGUAGUAACAUCUUAUGCAUGAACACAUGCUCAUCAUUAUUUAAGUGAAGCAAAACAAGAAGAUGCACCUAGUUUUGAAUUUGGGAUUCGUAGAUCUGCAGGCCAGUGGUGGCCGCAGUUAUUGGACAUAACCUGAUAGAGAAGGAGUAUGGUACUGCAGGAACCAGAUACUUGUCAUGGACACUAGGCGUCCAGCUAUCAUCUCCACCUACACCCAUAUGUUUGUGAUCCAGAUGAACCUCAAUGUCGUUUCCUUGAAGGUCUUUAUUAUGUCUUGCCCGGUCAAGCUCCGCUUUGGAAUAGUAACUAGCACUCAUUUGCAUAGGUGGAGAGCUGCCAUAUGUUGAAGCAAAAAUUCCUAUUCCAUCCUUGUCCUGAAAUGUCACCCAUCUAAUAUCU
rnacentral:misc_RNA from 1 species